GCGACCCCAUGAUAGGAGGUGUUACCCGAUGAGUUUAAGCAUAUCAAUAGGCGGAGUAAAAUAAACUUACAAGGAUUACCUUAGUAACAGAGAGCGAACCAGGAAUAGCCUAUCCUUAGUAUAGGGCGGCUCCGUCGUCUGAAUUAUAGACUGGAGAAGCAUCUUUAGUGGCGGAUCGGGCCCAAGUCCCCUAGAAUGGGGCACCAGAGAGGGUGAGAGCCCCAUUAUGCUUGAACCUGUCAUACCAUGAGGCAUUGUCUAGAGUCGGGUUGUUUGGGAAUGCAGUCCAAAUCGGCUAGUGAAUUCCGCCCAAUGAUAAAUACGGGCGAGAGACCAAUAGCAAACAAGUACAGUAAGGAAAAUAUAAAAAGGACUUUCAAAAAAGAGUCAAAGAGUGCUUGAAAUUAUCAGGAGAGAAGUGGAUGGGGGCCGGUGAUGUACCUUGGUCAAAUGUGGUACGGCGACGAGCCGAUCUACCGAUCAACUCAGGGCGUAGACCAGCAUGGAUUGGGGGGCCAAUGCCCAGGCCAUCAAUACGCUUGUGGAAUAUCGUCUCCUUUAUUGUGGAAGGCAGCACGCCCCUCUGGCGUGCUUUGGCAUCUACAUAUUCCAAACGCUGUCCUGUGGGCUCUCAAUUCGACCUGUCUUGAAACACGGACCAAGGAGUCUGACAUGUGUGUGAGUCGACGGGUGAGUAAACCCAUAAAUCAUAAGGAAGCUAAUUGGUAGGAUCCCUCUAAAGGGUGCACCGCCGACUGACCUUGAUCUUUUGAGAAGGUUUCGAGUGUAAGCAUAACUAUUGGGACCCGAAAGAUAGUGAACUAUGCCUGAGCGGUGCAAAACCAGAGGAAACUAUGGUGGAGGCCCGCAGCUAUACUAACGUGAAAAUCAUUCAUCUGAAUUGAGUAUAGGGGAGAAAGACUAAUCAAACCAUCUAGUAGCUGGUUCCCUCUAAAGUUUCCCUCAGGAUAGCUGGAGCUCGCAUGCGAGUUCUAUCAUGUAAAGCCAAUUAUUAGAGGUCUCGGGAGCACAACGCCCUUGACCUAUUCUUAAACUUAAAAUAUAUAGGUUGGGGCGGUUGCGUUGUUGAGCUGAUUCACAGAAUUAAGAGCUCCAAGUGGGCCAUUUUUCAUAAGCAGAACUAGCGAUGCGGGAUGAACCGAAAGCCAGGUUACGAUGCCAAACUAUACGCUAACCUAGAUCCCACAAAGGGCGUUGGUCGAUUAAGAAAGCAAGAUGGUGGUAAAGAAAGUCAAAAUUCAUUAAGGAGUGUAUAACGACUCACCUGCUGAAUCAACUAGCCCUAAAAAUGGAUGGCACUUAAGCGCGCGACCUACACCCGGCCAUUGAGGCAAAUGUCAGGCCCUAAUGAGUAGGAGUGUACGGUGGUCGCUAUAAAACCUUGGGCGCAAGCUCUAGCGGGGUAGCCAUCGAUGUAGAUCUUAGUGGUAGUAGCAAAUAUUCAAAGGAGAACUUUGAAGGCCGAGGAGGGAAAAGGUUUUAAGUGAACGGCACUUAUAUAUGGGUUAGUCGAUCCUAAGGGUCAGGGGAACCCCGACAAAUAGCGCAAUUCACGCAUAUUCCAAAAGAAAAUCAUUUUAAAAUUCCUGAACUGGGAUGUGGCAGUCGACAGCAAUAUUAGGAAGUUUGGAGACAUCGACGGGAGCCUCAGGAAGAUUUAUUUUUUCUAUUUAACAGCCUAUCCAUCCUGGAAUCAACUCAACCAGAGGUAUGGUCCCAUGGCAGGAAGAGCACCACACGUCGUGUGGUGUCCGGUGUGCUACCAGCUGCCUAUGAAAAUCCAGAGGACUAAAUGCCAUACACGUCCGAUCAUACUCAUAACCGCAUCAGUUCUCUAAGGUUAACAGCCUCUAGUCGAUGGAACAAUGUAGGCAAGGGAAGUCGGCAAAAUAGAUUUGUAACUUCGGAAAAAGAAUUGGCUCUGAGGGAUGGGCAUGGCGGUGCCAGUCCCUAACUCGUUGAUUGUCGGUGGACUGCUCGAGCUGCUCCUACAGCGAGAGCGGGUCGCUGCAGGCCGGCCGGGGGAUGAACUGGGAACGGGUCAUUAAGACGACUUCCCCACUCGUAGAACUACCAACUUAGAACUGGUACGGAUAAGAGAAAUCUAACUAUUUAAUUAAAACAAAGCAUUGCGAUGGUCCCAACGGAUGUCACGCAAGGUGAUUUCUGCCCAGUGCUCUGAAUGUCAAAGUGAAGAAAUUUAACCAAGCGCAGGUAAAAAGUAGGAGAAACUAUGACUCUCUUAAGGUAGCCAAAUGCCUUGUCAUCUAAUUAGUGACGCACAUGAAUGGAUUAAUGAGAUUCCCACCAUCCCUAUUUACUAUCCAGCGAAACCACAGCCAAAGGAACGGGCUUGACAGAAUCAGUAGGAAAAGAAGACCCUAUUGAGCCUGACUCAAGUUAGACUUUGUCAAAUUACUUGAGACGUGUAGUAUAAGUGGGAGCCGAAAGGCGAAAGUGAAAUAACACUACUUUUAAUAUUGUUUUACUUAUUCAGUAAAUCGGAAGUGGGGCACUGCCCCUUUUUUUGAACCCAAGGUUCGCUCUACGGCCCGAUUCAGGCAGAAGAUAUUGUCUGGUGGAGUUUGGCUGGGGCAGCAUAUCUGUUAAAAGAUAACAUAGGUGUCUAAAGAUGACCUCAACAAAAAUAGAAAUCUCAUGUGGAAUAGAAUAGUAAAAGCUUAUUUGAUUCUAAUUUCCAGUAUGAAUACAAACUAUGAAAGCGUGGCCUAACAAUCCUUUAGACCUUUGAAAUUUGAAGCUAGAGGUGUCAGAAAAGUUACCACAGGGAUAACUAGCUUGUGAUAGCCAAGUGUUCAUAGCGACGUUGCUUUUUUAUCCUUUGAUGUUAACGCUUCCUAUCAUUGAGAAGCAGAAUUCACCAAGUGUUGGAGUGUUUACCUACCAAUAGGAAUGAUAUCUGGGUUUAGAACGUUAUGAUAUAGGUAAGUUUUACCCUACUGAUGACAGUGUCGCAAAAGUAAUUCAACCUUGUACGAGAGGAAUCCUUGAUUCACACAAUAGGUCAUCGCUCUUGGUUGAAAAUCCAGUGGUAUGAAGCUACCAUAUGCUGGAUUAUGACUGAACGCCUCUAAGUCAGAAUCCAGGCUAAAAGUGAUGCAUACGCUAGCCAUCCACUUGCCAACCCACAGUAUGGGCCUCGUCCCCUAAAGGUACGUGUCGUUGGCUAAGCCAUUACGAUAGAAGGGUCGCUAUGGCC
rnacentral:rRNA from 1 species